rnacentral:lncRNA from 1 species
UACAAAUUCUUUGUACACCAGGAUUAACAUGACUUCUGGUAGGUAACUUAAUUUUGAUCUUACAACCUAUAUUACAAUAUGUGUCGUUUUGCUUUAACAUGUAUGUAGCACAAUGGCUAACGAUUUGAAUUUUUUUUAUGGUUAAAAGUAUACAGUUAGAUAAAAAAAAAUGUAUUUUUCUAAUCUUCUAAUUAUUAUUGUAUUUCAAGUAACGUUUCAACUUAACGUAUUUAUCCGUUUCAUUUAUACCCCUUUUUAUUGCCUUUUCAAAUGUGUUAAUGCAAGCAGACGUAUAUUUCACAAAGGCUACUGAAUGAAAUAGUUUGACCUGUUCCUUUUUUUCCCCGACAUUUUUUUUUAUCUUUUUAGGCAUCACUUUCAUAACUUCGAUAAUGCCACUUAUAAUGUUUUAAAUAUUUAUCUAUACAGCUUGGUAUAAGUGUUGAUCGCUUAACAAGUCGUGUACACCAAGGUAUAAUUUAGCUGUUGCUUGUGCGGCAUUUAUCGAUUAGCCUUUCGCCUAUGAUCCUAUAAUGUCUCUUGCUUCUGUUAUGCUAUUUUUAAAUUACUCAAUCAGACUAGUUCUGUUUCCAUUUUGUUCUGAUAUUUUUGGUUUAUCUAUGUACUUUUAUGGUAGUGCCGUUUAAAAUCGAUAACAUAAUCCCUAUCCAACCUUCUUUUGUGGAUAUCAGCAAUAUAUACUAUCAUGAAGUGUGUUAUAUGUAAAUAAGUGUCAUAAGUGUGUUUUGUUUUAUCAAACAGACUGAGUAAUUCGUGCUACUUUUGUAUUGAUUAAGUUUAAAGAAAAGACUGCAAUUAUAUAAUAUAUUAUUUAUUCAGUUAUUAUAGUUAAUCUAAAUGUGAUAUAGGCCUGAUUUGUUUUACGCUUUUUUCUACAUAGAGGCUUUCUGAAAUAGGUUUUAAUAUACACUUAUAUGCGGUCAAGCUUAGCGAAAGGUAGUGCGACGUAAUCAGUCAAACAAACUUUAUUAGAUUAACUCGUAAAGGAACGAUCGUUUUCAUUGGCCAAUUCAGACCUUCGCCCUCACACCUGCGAAAAUAGAACACGCGUACUAUAAGUUGAAUGGACUGAUCAGUAUUCUGGUAGCCGGGCAAGGUUGUUAUAACCUCAAUCGUCGUAUUCACGUACAUUAUUGUGUUCUUGAUUAUCCCAUAGCAAUUCUAGCUUUUCAAUGAUACAUGUAUGUGCAUAUAAAAUUCAUUGAAAAUUAUAAUUUUGUGCACUAGUAAAAUUUUUAACUUUAAAAUCUUAAGGUUUCUCCUCUCAGUUGUUUCUGGAUUAAGAGAUCUACCAUUUUAUUUUGAUGGGAGGGUGGACUUUGAUGAAACAGUUAGUUCUUUUUUCUAAGUUGUAUUCUUUGUCCUGUCGUUUUAUUUUUAGUCUAUUUGGUCCUGUCUUUUUUUUUUUUUUUUUACAUAAUUCGUUAUUCGGCCUUUUUCCCAAGUUGCUCAUCCUGCCUUUUUAUAUCUUUCGCAAGUUUUUGGUAUUCGACUAAGAAUAGUGUGAUUUUUUUUGUAAUUCAGUUUACUUAAGUUUGAGAAAAAAUCCCGAAAUUCUAAGUAAAUUUAGAACAUGUAACCAACCAUACUUCGUUUAGAGAAAAAUAGAGAUGGCAAACUAUAGCACAGUGGAAAGAUAUGUAUUUUAUAAACUCCAGCGAUAUACUUAUUGAAUUUUAUAAGUUAACUGUUUUGCUAUUCUCGGUUGAAGUUCGAACGUAGAUUAUAUAUUUGUGAAUAUCUAAAUAGUUACAGAGAAAACAAUCAGUUUUUAAAAGCGUGUUUAUUCAUUAAAUGUAUUGAUAAAAAGGUGGACCCCUUCUAGUACAUGCAUUCAGUCAUACUUAUUAAUAAUUUCUUAAUAUGUCGUUUAUCAGUUUAUCUUACAUGUAUGAUUUUGUAUUUCAUUUUAAAUACGCAUGCAUAUUUCACGUCACUUUGGCGGAUAGUUUAACAAUGUUAAUAUGCAUAUCACUUUCUUACGGUAUUAAAUUAAAGGAGAGGUUUUUAGCCAAUUUACAGCAGAUUUCAGUCAGUAUGUAGCUAAUGGUAAUAUCUUUGGUUAGCUUGCUUGUUAGCUGAACCGUGAAGUCAUUGUUAGGUAAGGUAUACUACCCUCCUUUUAAAGUAGCUUAGUCCUACAGAGAGAUAGAUUUUUUAUCUGUUGGGCUAGUCUACUAUUAAAGGAGGGAAGUUUACCUUACCUAACACUGACUUCACUGUUCAGCUAACAAGCAAGCUAACCAAAGAUAUUAGCAUUAGCUACAUACUGACUGAAAUUUGCUGUAAAUCGAAACAGUAUAUUUAUAUUGUUCCUUUAAAGUUAUAAACUACGAUAAGAUUUUUUUUUAAUUCCACACAUACAAAAGAAAAAAUCUUCGCCGAUGUUACAUUUCAAUCCCUUUUCAGACACCAAAAUGCCUUCACUGAAUUCAUUUGAAUUUCGUGGUGAUCAUGAUAGUACAUUGCAUACUACGUCUUCAUUCACGCGCACAAAUGAUACGAUUUUUUUCUAUAUUUCGGGGACAAUUUGCUACGUUUAUGAUACGUAAAUUCUUAAUGACCAAACGCUUAGCUACUGCGCAACUUUCUGUAUCUUUGUUUUAUAGCAUGAAAACACUAAAAGAGGAAUAUGCAACCCAUUAUAACUUUUUCAUGUUUUUGUAAUUAUUGUAAUGGAUCAGCAUUAUGAGAUCCUUAUUAUAAGUAACUACGUCAUUGAAAGAAAUUAAAAGUGGUUACUUAAUCAUGUAUAAAAGCGGCACAUGUAUUUUAUGUUAUCCUUAUAUGUUUCAUAAUGCGGUACAUUAUGUACACGAUGAUUAUGUUGCUGCAGUAUAAUAUUUCGACACAACAAUUUGAAAUUCACAAAACAUUUAUUUAAUUCCUUUGACCAAAGAUUUGUAAACUAUACAUUGUCAAAUCCUUGAUUUUACGUUCGUUGUAAAAUAGUACAUUCCAUAGUCAGUCACCUGUGUCAAUUCACGUGCAAACUACAAAUGUUGUUGUAUUUGAAUCUUUCGGCCAAUGAAACGAGACGUUACAAGUUGUUUGUUUGUGAUACGCCAGAAUGUUAUCAAUGAACUAUCAAACGCCAAAGUUGAUUGCAUUUCAGUGUAUUUAUGUUUCACAUUGGAAAAGACUGACUAAGUCAUUGAGUUUUAAAUCAAUACAUUUGCUGAUACUGUUAGGAGUCUUUGUUUACUUUCGUAUAUAUAUAUAUGCUAAUCAAAUGAGUUGAGGCUUGCAUGUUUCUAUUUUUGCAUUUAGAUGAGUACAUUUAAUAAACAUACAAAUACCACGUAAUUUAUUUUUCAUCAGGUAUACCAGCACUAUUUCUGGUAUUCCUAUGCAAUGCUGCACAGUUGGGUGAGUGAUAUCUCCGUAUUUAUUACAAACCUAUUUUAUAAGAGACAUAUACAAAAAUAAAAAUAAUUGACUGAAAGCAUAUACACGUAACAAAAGACGACGUGACAUUUCAUUUGUGUUGUUUGUUUUUACAUGUAAAUGAAAAGACAGCUGCAAACUAGGAGGAUACAAAUUUCCAUUUCGACUAAGCUUCGGAAAGUGAUAGAGCGUAUUUUAUUUUAGAUCUCUCAAAAAAGAAUACGAUUUAAAUAUCUGUUGAAUAGAUUAAGCAAAUUUAAUGAUCUACAUUACAUGACAUAAAAUCAGAAAUCAGAAUUAGAUAAAGAACCGAAUCGGACACACUAGAACAACACACGAAUGUAUUUUUAAAUUAUCAACGUACUAUAAUACAAAGACGUGUGUUUGCAUUUUAGUCGAAUGCAUACUCGAUUUAAAAUGUAACGUUUUUUUUAGAAUGUGGAAUAAUUUGCCUUUCCUGUACUGGUUUAUCAGAGGGAGAACAGUGUCACAAUGUUGUAUCCUGUGAACAAAACGAGGUAUUGUACAACAUUAAGAUUUUGAAUUCAUGAUCUUUUAUGUUACACAUACUCUUUGUCUAAUUUUGACAUACAAUACAGAGUUUAUUACCAAGUAGCGUGUUCUAUAUUGUUCACCAAAUUUAGCCUGACUUAAGUACAUGACACAGAUAUAACAAUAUAGCUUUGGAUUUGUAAACAUGUCUCAUUAGCAUCUUUAUAUGUAACCGAAAGUUUGGAAGUUCACAAAUACUUGAUCAAAUUAUUUUCAUAGUUCAUAGUUUAUUUAAGAAAACUCAGCCGCAGAAGACUGCGUAACAGGAGCGUAUUAUACACAAUAUAAAUCACAACAUAUUUCAUAUUACAUACAGUAUACAUUUUUAAAUUAUACAUCUUCAGAAAUAAAUCUUUGUUUAUUGCAAUUUUAAAUCAGACAAGAAUCUUUUCUACCUUUUGAAUAAAAAUUGACAGCUUAGACAGCACAUUAUUAUUACAAUAUUUAAGCAUGCCCAGUACUUUUUUAACAUUUGGAUAUUUUAAAUAAUAUGGAGGUAUGAACUUCCCCCUUAAAUCUUUAACUUCACAAUUGGUACAUAUACAUAUAUAGUGGUACACAUCCCCAAGACCAGCUUUACAAACUGGACAAAUUCUCUCAUUUCGUGGUACAUUUUUCUACUUCCUGUUUCAAUGGGAAACUUUGUAUUACAUACCCUUAAUUUACAUACAUUUACUCUAUGACCCCGCCUUAAUUUUAACAGAAAUGGUUCUAAGCAAAACUCUUCUUUAAAGUGUAAAUAAAAUUCCCCCCUUGAUGAGUUGUUUAUAUCAGAGAACCAUUUUUGAAUAAACUGGUCCUGGAGACACUGCCUCACAUUAGUUUUAAUAUAAUUAUAAUCAACUUGCUCCGGAAUAUUAUAUAUUUCACAAAAGCCACAGUCAUUAAACACAGAUUUUACAAAGUUGAACCAUUGAAAUUUUAAUUUCAAUUAUUUCAUUACAUAGUUUAAAAGUAACAUUCUUAUUAAACUUUCUCUUUGAAAAAAUUACAAUAUUAGUUUUUGAUACAUUCACAGUGAGUUUCCACUCAAAACAAUAUUGCUCAAAAACAUUCAGAGCCUUUUGCAACCCUUCUACCGACUCCGCAAAAAUAAUAAUGUCGUCGGCGUACAGAAGAAUAAAUAACUUGAUAUACAAAUCAAGAUUUUCUGUACAUUUUUCAUUCAUAAAUGUUAGACCUACCACAGAGUGUUCAUCCAGAUAUUCCUCCAAGUCAUUCAGGUAUAAGGCAAAGAGAAAAGGUGACAUUUUUUUCUCACUGUCUUACACCUACCUCACACGGGAAAAAAUCUGUUUUUAGUUCUCCAUUUUUAACACAAGAUUUAAUAUCCGUAAACAUGCUCAAUAUAACUUUAAACAUUUUCCCACCAAUGUUAUAUUUUAAUAAUUUUUGCCAUAGUUCCACCCUCCACACUAUAUCAAAAGCUUUUCUAAAAUCUACAAAAGCGCAAAAUAAUUUCUUUCCCGAACUCAAAUAUAGUGAAAUUAAAGCAUGCAUGAUAAACAUACUAUCUUGUACAGAAUACCCCUAACGAAAACCACCCUGGGAAUCAGUUAUAAUCCCGAUCUCGUCUGACAGAGCAUUAAGUCUUGAAUUAAGUAUAGAGGUGAAUACUUUUUUUCCUAAAUUCGAUGUAAGACAAAUAGCUCGGUAAUUAUCCAAAUUAGAACGAAAUUCAUAACAGUGUGGUCGACAGUAAAACGUUUAUUAGUAAUUGUACUGAAAAGUUUACCUUUAACUUGUUUGUCGUGGGCGAUGAUUUUAUGCUCACUCAGUCUAUCGGAGGCCUUCAAGUGGGGAUUUAAAUAAUCAUUUGUUACAAAUUUUGAUACAUAAAAUGAAACUUUCUUUUUACAAAUCAUUUAAGGAAUUUAUUUUAAAUAAUUGUUAUACCAUCACUUACAACAGUUUCACUUUUAAGAAUAUUAAUGUCCAGAGCUGAUAUCAAUAAAUAAUAAUAAUAAAAAAAAAAGUUUAUUCAUGGUAAAAAAAACAAAAAAACUUUUAAGUUAAUAGGGACCCGCGUUAUUUCAGAAAAUAUCUUAUUGAUUAAGAGAACAAAAACUUCUACGUUGUGAUCAUUUAAGAGUGGCCUUCUAUUUAUUCAAUGCUAACCAUGUGGGCUUUGUUUUUUUUUUUAUAUACCAUAAAUCGAUUCGUUCAUUCAGAUAUUUGUCAGUUUGCCUUGGCUCUUCAAGUCCAACACACAACUUCUCACGAAAUUGGUAUUUUUCUUACAAAAAUUACAUCCAUGUGAUGUAUUCUUUUCAUGGAGAAUGAAUGUUGCACCUUAUUUUAUUUGUUAUCGUUUUUUUUUGUGUGUAUCAUUGACGUAUAAGACAACCUGAAUCUUCUUUAUUCAAAUUUAAAACAUACGAGAUGGCAAUUAUGACACAAAAUAACUAAAUUAAACUUACAGCAGAAGAAAGAUAAUGAACAUCGCUUUUAUAGUCUUCUAAAUAUCGAAGACGCGUGGUCUUUUUUUAAAAAUGAUGUAAAUUUAUAAAGGAAACAACAAACAAAAUAGUUCGAAUAUUUAUAUUGGAAAAAGUAACGGUGUGUAAAUCAUAACAAUUAUUUUAUUUCAAUGAAAAUCAAACUGUUGAAUUUUUUCCGCUGCGAGCAAAUUUUUAAUUUUGGUCGCAUUUUGAAAAUCAAUAAAUCUUGUAUUCUUGUUGGAAGCUGCACUGUGUAGUUUAUACCCGUUUUUUUCAAUGCCACACAAAUCCAACACAGACAAAAAAAAAUGGUAGGUUCAAGAAAUAAUUGAUGCAAACUAUACUUUAUUGUAGUUUUAACAUGGGUAGGCAUUAUAUUCGUGAUUAUUUUUGCCCGAGCGAUAUCGAAAAACUAUUAUAAAAAGUGUCCUAGUUCAGUGAAAAUGUACGUCAUACUUAUUUCCUAAACAAAUAAAUAAACAAACAUUAAUUAAUUAACAUACAACACUACCAAAGGCCAGAGACUCCUUACUUGUAUGAUUUUGUAAAAAAAUGCAUCUUUUUAAAACAGUCGAAAACAAAAUUGUCUGUCCAAUGGAAAAGUCGAAGCCCAAAAAAGAUGAACAGUGCAUUAUAGAAACAUAGAAGCUGGUUGCAAAAGUUGACAACAACAUCUAUUUUAUAACUUGAGUAUGGCCUAAUACUAUUAACCUGAAAUAAAUAUAUUUAUAGCAAUUCCCUUGAUACGAAAGAUCUACAUGUUGCCUUGGGCUUUUUCUUUUCUUUUUUUUUUUUGCUCUUUGGUUGGGAUUUUGUCUCAAUGACAAUUCAAUUUUCAUUUCUUUUAUCAGUGAAAAAAUGCUGGAGGACAGUAAUAAAUAAUCAAUAAGAGAUACGCUAUUACAUGUAGUCAUGCCUAUCAUAUAGUCAUUACCUGGUAACCUACUGUUAUCAAUAUACAAAUAUGUGUUAUACUUUGUUUUACACCAUCAUGCUCAUAUGUAUCCUUAAAUUGAGUUUCAUAAAACUUAAACUGAUGCUUAUCAGCAGUUUUAUAAAUUACAAAUUCAAAUCGAAUGUUUAAAGAACAGGUAGAAUGUUUUCAAUGACAACAACACUUUAUUAAUUUCGUGUAUUUCUGGAUUUAACUCAACCUUGACAGAAACACUCAAACACAAACAAUAAGUUGAAAGUGAAGUAUACGACCUGCAAGAUUUUUAUGACCAAAACAGCGUGUAACCUCCAAAUUUACAGGUCAACAUUGGAACAGCAAGACAUAAGACUAAACUUUAAAACUCAGUUGAAACAAGCUUAACUCAUGAGCUCGAUACAAAUCAGAACAUUCCAACAAAAUCACAAACCGCAGAGUUUGUCUAUCCCCUACCAAUAACAACAAAAAGACACUAUGUGCAGAUAAUAACUAAUACAAAUUCCUGAAUCUUCGACUGAAAUUUCGAUCUGUACACAUCCAGCAUCCAAUGAAUUUAGUGUAAAGAAAUCACUAACAAUCAAAGAAAAAACAUGACCUUGUGCAAUGCCAAAAUAAAUCUAUCAUACGACUGUAGUACUGUUAUAGUCGUUUUGCAACUUUUCAAUUCUCGUGCAAUUUAGGAACUUGUAGUAUGAUUAGACAACUCAUCACAAGAGACUGAUUUACACAAGCAUUAACAAAUAUACAAAUGUAGGUCACUGUGCGAUCUUCAACAAUGCGUAAAACCCAUUUUUUUCAAAUGAUUCUAUAAAUGGUUGUGUUUAUCUUUUGUCUAACUUUGAAGAACCUAAUUUAAAAUUAAAAUGUUUUAUAACAAAAGUAUUAUUGAAUUGCUGUCUUAUUGACGAAUAUAUCGUUUUUACCUUUACCAAUGGUAGCAGAAAGAAGAUGAUAUACACGUAUUGGGAGAACAAAAACGAACAUUUUGAAUUUUGAUCACAACUAUACUUUUUAAGCUCUACUGUUUUUCUUUAUUUUUUCAGGUUUGUUUUACGCAAAAAUACAGAACUAAAGAUAACGUCACUAAAUAUGACGUAGGAUGCUCUUACCCAGAGGUGACCAAAUAAUAUUAUUCUAUAAUUGUUUGUUGUCUUUUGUUAGACGUAUGUCAACUAAUGUGAUAUGGGGAUGAUAAUCCGGUAAAGUUGGCUGUCAGUUCUUUGAUUAUUCGUUUUUUUUUAUUCUAGAGAGUAAAACAGCUCGAUAGUCUUUGUACGAGUGUUUUGGUUAGAGGUUUUCCUCAGCAUAUAUCCCUAUGUCUCUUACUUUAUUUUCAUGAUACAAUAACAACGAAAAAACAUGUUUAAUCGUACACUAGUAAGCUUUAUUUCUAUUUCCGUUGGUGAUAAGUGUAAUUUAAAAUGUAAUUUAAGUAAUGGGACAACAAUGUUUGACAUAUGAAAUUACUACAAGGUGUACAUGACAUUCGAGCAUAGUCAAUCUGAACUUUUAAUGGUUCAUUGGACAUGUCGAGGUAGUCAGCUAACAAUUUACAGUACAGCAUACCGCACCAACACCCGACUACUCUAAAACAAUAGCCGACCACAAAAAGAUGAAAAAUCAACGGAUACCACUUAAUUGUUUCAUUAACGUUCACUCUGUAUAGACUAAUCGAUAGAAACCAUAGUAAAAUGUAUUAUUCAUGUUUAAAUCUAUAUUCAUCUUUAAAUAACUAAACCAUAUUUGUCGAUGUUAAAACAUCUAAAGUUUUACAGCUUUGUCGAAAAGAUAGCACAGGAGUUGUAUUUGGAAAACGCAUGGUCGACCAUGGCCAUGUAGUGUGUCACCAAUGUUGUCAGGACAACGUUUGUAACUCCGUCUUAACAUGUAGCGACAAGUACAAAGGUCAGGAAAGAGAGAACACUAUAAUGCGUCUUUAAAUUAAAAAAGAAUAAAAAAAUAAAGGAAAACUACUUAUUUAUAACAGAAGUUUUUACAAAAUACAAAAAAUGUCACAUAUGAAUAGUUGUAAUAUUAUUUUCAAUACAAAAUAACUUCGCUUAGGCACAUCACAUGACAUCUGAAGAAGUAUUUGUUCUGUCACGUCAGAUUUGGUUUAAUUUCCAAUAAUUCGAAAUUGCUUUCUUAUUAUUUAAUUUAACCGCUAUCCAUGAUCCAGAUACAUACUAACCUACGAUAACAAACACAAUAAAUUUAAAAACUUGAUAAGAAUACAUCUGUUUUUUUUAAUUUUUUUAUUUUACAUAUCAUUUUCGAUUUGAUACAUAACAACAGAUAAAACAUGAUCAUCUUAAAAUAUUAUUGUUUAAUAUAUACAUGUGCUUUGUUAAAGCUCCAAGACUGAGUUGUUUGUCCUGUAGUGGUGUUACAAGAAUAGAUAAAUGCAACAGCACAAUUACUUGUAAUGAUAAUGAGGUAUAUAAUGUAUUCCGUUAUCCAGAAUUGUGAUCUUUAUAUUUUCCUAUAUAUUUAGUUGUUAGCUUGAUUUUAUAAGUGCCCAUUAAAUACCAUUUCAUGCGGAAAAAUUUUCAUAUUUGAUAUUUCACACAAUUAUAUGCAAAUCUUGUAAAGUUUAAAAAUCAAUACUCAACUCAAUCAGUGAACAUAUUUGAAAAAAAUAUUUCAAAACAGUAUCGAAGAAAAUGCUAAUACACAAUUUUCGUUUAUUUCGAAUAGGUUUGCUUUAUACAAAAAUAUCGAACAGGACUAUAUGAACAUUUUGAUCUCGGAUGUAAAAGUUCAACUGUAAGUUUUUUUUUGUAUACACAACUAUAAAAUAUAAAAAUGAGAAGAUGUGGAAUAACUGUUAGUAAAACAGUUUUAUACAUGAGACCACAUGAUGUAAAGCUUACUAUUUACCGGGUUUGUAAUAACAUGAGCAACACGACGGGUGUCACUUGUGAAGCAGGAUCUGCUUAUUCUUCCGGAGCACCUAAGAUCACUCCCAGUUUUUAAUGAGGUUCGUCUUUAGUUUUCUAUGUUGCUUCUUGUGUACUAGUUUUUGUCUGUUUGUCUUUUUCAUUUAAAGCUAUGGCGUUGUCAGUUAAUUUUCAAUUUAUGAGUUUGACUGUUCCUCUGGUAUCUUUCGCCCUCUUUUACAACUAAAAAUCACCAUAUACCAAUUAACAAAACAUAUACCGCAUAUUCAGCUUUAAAAUGCCCCAAAAUGAAAGAUGCAACACAAUGUAAAGAGAAAACAAAUGGCUUGAUGUAUUUACAAAACAAUAAACGAAAAACAGAAAUGAUAUAGAGUAGCAUACAAAAACUACUGAAAUGCAAGCUCCUGACUAGGGACAGGGACUCACAUAAUGAUGGCUCCAAAAUGAACAAAAAAUUGAAAGGUUUCCUUAUAAUCAAACUCUAAAUGUUUUUUUGAUAUAAAACUGUACAAAGUUUUCAUGAUAUAAACUAUUCAAUAUUUUCAUGUUACAAAACUGAAAUUUUUUCAUGAUAUAUAAAACUGUUGAUUCUAUCAAUCAAGCUGUUCCUUGAUAAUCCCAUUAAGAACUUAUCUCACGGGUAUUGAAGUUUUAUGUUUUAAUAGUUCAGAUGGUCAUAUCAGAAAUUAUUGACAAGUUGCUUCCCUCUUUAAGACAGUUACAUUAAAAGGGAAACAUAUCAAAUGGUAGGCGGUAUGAUGGCUGCUCGCCAUGUUUACAAUACCCUGGGAUUUUGGUCAUUAAAUUAUUGAACCGACACAGAUUUUUUUGUAAUUGGUGAUGGUAAAAGAACAAGUGUCAACAGGAACAUACUCUAAGUAGAUAACAUAUUGUUUUACUUGUAUCCUGCAUAGUACACAGAAAUCUGAAUAAACUGUUUCCAAUGCCUGGUCCGUUUCAUACAUUCAAAAACGAGAAACAGAACUAUCAGAUGUUGGUAUCAUGCUAAUUGAUUUAUGAAUUUCAUAAUUAUAUAAUAAUAAUACACUACUGUUGUCCUUAUUAAUGAACCAAUGGACCGGUACUGACAUGUAACAAAUAGUAAUAAUAUACAAGUAUUUCCAAACCUUUUACUAGAAAAUCAAUAUUGAGGUUGUGAGUUCGAACCCCGAUCGUGCGGGUGCACCCGACUCCAAAUCUAAUUGACUAGGAUUGUUAGUUUUCCUAUCGAAGGUCGUUGGUUUUCUCCGGGCACUCUAACUUCCACCACCAAUAAAAACUGGCCGCAACGAAAUUGCCCAAAAGUGGUGUUUAAAAGUGGCGUUAAAACACCAAAUAUCAAAUCAAAUCAAUACAUUUUAGAAAAUCAUAUACACAUGCAUGCAGCAUACAUUGCUGUAAGAUUGUAUAUUUAGAUUUGUAUGAACGGGUUUUAUUCUAACAUAUUUGGUCGAAGAGCUGAGGUUGAGAGACAUCUUCUAUGUGAAACAUGCUGUGGAGGGAACUCUUUCUGUAAUCGUAACCUUGUAUGUAAUCACUAUAACCGUAAGUACAAAAAAAUGUUUGUGUUUAUAAAACAAAUUUAACAUUUGUAAUGUAACAGAAAAGCUACUAAUACAAUAAAAUAUUACUGAUAUAAUAAUUUUGCUUAACGCCAGAAUUCAUUUUGAUAACAUUUCUUAGAUAAUUUAUUAUGUCAAAUUAGAAUGAGUUAAAUAGAUACUUUUGACAAAGUUUUUGACAGAUUACACGUACAAUUUAUGUCAAUGUUUCAAAUGUAAAAGGUUUUCAUUCGGUAAUAUUCUAACAAUGUUAACAGUUUCUUUCCGACUUCAAGUUAGAGUUAUAUGCACUAAAAUAAAAGAAAAAUAAAAAAAAGAAGAAAAACACAACAACAAAUUGUAUCAUAGCCCUUUUACUGUUGUUUGACUUUCAACUGUAAACACAAUAAGGUCCGAAAUUUGUUAAAUACAUUGUGCAAUAUGUUUGUAUGGUUUCAUUUUAACUUGUUAUAGCUACAAAAUGUAGUUUUGAUAUCUAUUAAGAUGGGUUUACUAUUGUAUUAUAAAAGUGAAAUAACAAAAAUUACAAACCGCCACGAAAGUUCAAAACGGAACGAUCUUAACAAAUAGCAAAACAAAAAACUUAAACACACCAAACGAAUGGAUAAAUCCAUGCUAAUCAUUAUUCUUUUCCCUCAAGAUGCAUGUUACUUAUGCCUUGCGGGGGGGGGGGGGGGGCAACUAUGAUUUAAUACAGUAUAUGGUUGUUAUUGUUGUUGUUUUUGACAAGUAAAAAUAUCAAUGCAAAGUAAUAUAAAUAACAAAAUUGAAUACUAAUGGCAUCAUAAUGGCUAUACGAUAUAACAAUUUUUAAGGUAGCAAAUAAUGAACAUCGCAUUUGAAACUCAAAAUCAAUUGAAAUCAACCAAAUGAUCUUCAGCAUACAUUAUUUGACACACUGCCGAAACAUACAGAAUACUUUACACCUAGACCUGUUAAUAUACUCUACUAGAUUGCAAGCGUACAUGUACAUGAUGCAGUUAUGUUUGUCAAAAUGAUUAAGAAAAGUUAUUGCACUUACUGCAAUAAAAAAUCAAUGAACUGAACAAUACAAUGUUUGUUUCAAAAUCAAAAUGAAACCAUGCUAUUUGCCGAUUAUAAUUUGCCACUCGCAUGAAUACAAAACAAAAAUUUGAUAAUCCAUUACAAGUAAAUGCUGCUGUUAAAUUUGGUUUUUUAAGUCAAUGGUGUGCCUUUAUCGUUUAAUUAUAUUUUUAUGACUGUUUUUUUUUUAAAUGCGAUAUCUACGUCAUUCAACAUUUCUUUUGCAGAAACAUCUGUGAACGGGUCGUGCACAUCAACAAGUGGUUGUAAGAGCAAUUUGAUUUGUCUGUCUGGUAAAUGCCAGUGUCCGACUGGUGAUUAUUACUGGUCGAUAAAUUCUUGCACAUUACGUAAGUACAUAAA